UGAUAUCAANNAGAAUGGCGCAAUUGCCCUGUUGCAGCAGCGGCGGUACUCCAGCUCCAUAAUCGUUAUUAAAGUUGUUGCAGUUAAAAAGCUCGUAGUUUGAUUUAGGGUUUAUUUUUAAAAAUGGAACUUAUCCUUUCUGGUAUUUCUAUGAUUGGACUUGUUCCUAUAAACCUUUAUGAUAAAUAAUAAACAUCUGUUCUUCAUUGAAUGGGUGUUUUAUUUUUAUCCUUUUACUUUGAAAACAUUAGAGUGUUCAAAGCAGGCAUUAUUUAUUUUGUCUUGAAUACUUUAGCAUGGGAUAAUAACAUAUGACUCUUAUUCUAUUUUAUUGGUUUUUUAGAAUAUCCAAGUAGGUUUUUUUUCUAGUAGCAAUAUUAGAGAAAAGAUCUAUUUGGAGUAAUGAUUAAUAGAAAUAGUUGGGGGUGUUUAUAUUUCAUUGUCAGAGGUGAAAUUCUUGGAUUUAUGAAAGAUAAACUUAUGCGAAAUCAUUCAUCAAGAAUAUUUUCAUUAACAAAGAACGACAGAUUAAGGAUCGAAGACGAUCAGAUACCGUCGUAGUUUAAUCUAUAAAUUAUGCCGACCAGGGGUUAGAGAAUGUGUUAAACUGAAUCAAGUUCGCAAGGGCUUGGUUCAAUUACUUCUUUAGAACCUUUGUGAGAACUCAUUGAGUGUUUGAGUUCUGGGGCUAAUAUGGUCGCAAGACUGAAACUUAUAGGAAUUGACGGAAGGGCACCACCCAGGAUUGGAGCCUGCGGGUUUAAUUUGACUUCAAACCGGGAAAAACUCACCAGGUCCCGAACAUGGAUGAGGAAUUGACAGAUUGAAAAGCUCCUUUUCUGGAUUUCUAAUGGGUGGUUGCAGCAAUGGGCCGUUCUUAAUUUGGAGGAAAUGAAUCUGUUCUGGGUAAAUACUGAAAAUCAAAACGACGACCACAGGCCUUAUUUAAAUUAGUAACCCGGAAAUAAGUUUAUUUCAUAAAAGGGAGUCAAAGAUGAAAACAAAUCUUUCUUUCCUAAUUUGACGCGGAAAUUCUUUUA
rnacentral:rRNA from 1 species